GGAAGCGAAUGGGGUCCGGUGAUCCUCCCGGUCUUCAAAACCGGCGCGCGGCGGGUUCGUCCCGUCGCGGGUGCGUUCGACCCGCACACGCUUCCGCCA
rnacentral:tRNA from 1 species